rnacentral:rRNA from 1 species
UACAUGGGGUGCAAACGUUGCUCGGAAUUAUUGGGCGUAAAGCGCGCGUAGGCGGUUACUUAAGUCGGAUGUGAAAGCCCUCGGCUUAACUGAGGAAGUGCACCCGAAACUGAGUAGCUAGAGUACGAAAGAGGGUCGCGGAAUUCCCGGUGUAGAGGUGAAAUUCGUAGAUAUCUGGAGGAACACCGGUGGCGAAGGCGGCGUUCUGGACUGCAACUGACACUGAUGAACGAAAGCCAGGGGAGCAAACGGG